rnacentral:rRNA from 1 species
GGAUGCGAUCAUACCAGCACUAAAGCAUCGGAUCCCAUCAGAACUCCGAAGUUAAGCGUGCUUGGGCGAGACUAGUACUAGGAUGGGUGACCUCCUGGGAAGUCUUCGUGUUGCAUUCC